AAUGCCAGUCAGCUGAUCAUGAUGAUCUGUCUUAAGACCCCAGACCUGACAGAAGCGCUUGGUGUUGCUGACAUGAUCCUCAGACCCACAGUGUAACCCAGGUUACCAGGGUUGAAUAGCGGUCCAGCUUAUCAAUUGAUUAGUGAAGGGAAUAAAUGGAUCAAUAUGGUUAAUUGAAAAAAAAAAGAAAAGAACCCUGUAGAGAAAAAAAAGUAAUAAAUUGUAUUUGUGAAUAAUUCAACAUGUAUGCACAAACAUGUAGGUGUAUGUAAACAAACGUACAAAAGUUAUCACGUCUUUAAAAAGAAAAAAAACCGUUUUGGCCACUUUGAGUAAGUUUUCAGCAAGCCCACUUGAAACGGGAAUACGAGGGGUUCAUGAGAUGCGGUGUGAGCGAUCGGACGUUGUCACGUGAUACGGGUCAUUCUGCCAAGCCAAAGUCAAGGUGGCUACACACUAACUUUUGUUGCAGACUGUUAGUUCUACGUGUAAGAGAGACAAUUAAUUUGAUUUAUUGUGGUCAUAAUCAGCGUGGGACAUAGUCUCUUCGGCUGUGAAGUCGCUGGCGGACAGAGCGUCGUGCCAAAGAUACAACGGAGUAAGUUAUGAUCAUUAGCCGCUAUGGCGCUAGCUUGGACUGGCAGCCGCAUGGGUUUUGCUAGCGCUAGCUUGACACGAUGUAUUUCUGAACUCCCGUGUUCCUGUUUCAUCUGAAAGCGACACCUGGAUUGCUGAGGGCCUUGUGAUGUGCAGUUGUGCCGAAGCGUGUGUGUGUGUUGUGUGAUGCUUGAACCUCUGGCCGGGUCUUUUUCUUUCCCUUGUUUGGAUCUCCUUACUCUGAGGAUCAAGUAAAGAUCUCGUCUGCUGGGAUUCCUCUUGGUCCUGAAGAUAAAGAGGAACUCCAGUGGUCGUGGCGAGCCAUCCAAAACCACCAAUUGUGACUUGGAGUAGGAUGUUUCUGUGUUACUGGUAGAAAAAUGUCUCAUACUGCCGUUAAUGUGUCAUUGAUGUGGUUUUAAUACAGUGCAUAAAAAAUUG